GACGAACCGAGCGAACGUUGUUCGGAAUCACUGGGCUUAAAGGGCGCGUAGGCGGGCUGUCAAGUCUGGGGUGAAAUCCCGCGGCUCAACCGUGGAACUGCCUCAGAUACUGACGGUCUCGAGGGAGGUAGGGGCGAGCGGAACUGAUGGUGGAGCGGUGAAAUGCGUUGAUAUCAUCAGGAACUCCGGUGGCGAAGGCGGCUCGCUGGACCUCUUCUGACGCUGAGGUGCGAAAGCGUGGGGAGCAAACAGG
rnacentral:rRNA from 1 species